GUUGGUAUUGAUUGCGGCGAGGGUCCACCUGUUCCCAUCCCGAACACAGAAGUUAAGCUCGUUCGCGCCGACAAUACUUGCAGGGUGACUUGCCGGGAAGAUAGGUAAUGCCAACA
rnacentral:rRNA from 1 species